AGUAAUACAUAAGUAACCUGCCCUAGACAGGGGGAUAACUAUUGGAAACGAUAGCUAAGACCGCAUAGGUACGGACACUGCAUGGUGACCGUAUUAAAAGUGCCUCAAAGCGCUGGUAGAGGAUGGACUUAUGGCGCAUUAGCUGGUUGGCGGGGUAACGGCCCACCAAGGCGACGAUGCGUAGCCGACCUGAGAGGGUGACCGGCCACACUGGGACUGAGACACGGCCCAG
rnacentral:rRNA from 1 species